rnacentral:pre_miRNA from 1 species
AGAGGGAUAGCUGGGUCAAAUGGUGGUUCCAUUCCCAGUUUUCAAAAAAUCUCCAUACUGCUUUCCAUAUUGGCUUCACCAAUUUGCAGUCCUACCAGCAAU